ACUCUACAUUUCCCCCAAUGGACUUCCAGAUCCUAACACAGAUGUUUUCUCUUUCCCUCUCUGCUCCUAUAACUUACCUCAAAUCUCUCUUUUCUCUGUCUCUCUAAACACCCACACAAAUUUUCUCCUUUAUUUUGAUGUUCAAUGUGAGCAAUAGAAGGCAGAAUUUCAAAGGAGCCAGUGAAAGAAUGAGUAUAAACCUCGUUUCUCCAGCCCAUCCUCUGUGGAGCUAUGUUGCUGCUGCUGCUUUAAAGACCCUACAGGAGCUUCAGACUGACAGCUCAUCUGGGUCCCGAAAUACAUCGACUUCACUCUCCCUCCCAGAACAUUUCAUUUUCUCUUACACUAAAACCAGCAGCCACUCACUUUGCAAUUGAUCUCAUUUCCCAUCAUGGCACAUUCCUAAAAACUGAACAUACUUAAUGUGGCAUCAGAAAUGUAUUCUCCACCAGUGGACACAUUUCCAAAUUUUUGUUUAGUGGACACACACCCUCAACACACAAAUACCAACAAAUAACAAAUAUGAGACACACUCAAAGAACAAUCUGAUUGUGAGUAAGCCUUUUUUCUCUGAAUGAUGCUGAACAAAAUAUCUAAAUCCAUAUAACUUUUUUUUUUUUUUUUGGUUCANNNNNNNNNNNNNNNNNNNNNNNNNNNNNNNNNNNNNNNNNNNNCAGUUAUCUGACGUCACACUUUUCCAGUUGACUCUUCAACCUCCCUGCUAGUCAGGGGAAUACAAAUUAUGGUAAGAAUGGGACAACAAUUUAGAACUGUUAGGUUGGAAAAAAAAGUAGAGCCUUGAGAAGCUGUGUUGAUUGGUGAGCAGGUAGGAAGAAGUGUGGGUCUUCAAACAUGCUGGAGAAAAGGUGUAUCAUUUCAGUUUCUUAGGAAAUCAAUUUAUCACUAUCCAUUUCCAUCAAACAUAAACAUACUUAUCAUAGAGAGCUCACUCCGGGAAAGUUUAGAAGUCAAGUGGCAGCAUGGAUGGGUAUAACUACAAAGGUACUUAUUGCAGCAUUGUGGAUUUGGACCUAAAUAGAAACAGUGAAUGUAUAAAAGGUGUUUAUGGCUAAAAAGACUGUAUCACUAAAAAUACCUCUGUACCAUGGAGGACUGUGUGGCAAUAAAAAAAUUAGGUUGAUGCCUUACUAACAGGUCUGGGAGAAACAGAGAAGAGGGUAUAACAGGGUUUUAAUUUCUGAAAAUAAGAAAAUUAAUAAUCCUUUGUGUGAUUUUAAUGUAUCCCAGAAUGAGAAGUCAAGUGGGCCUUACGAAGCAUCACUAUGAACA
ensembl:lncRNA